AUUGAACGCUGGCGGCAGGCCUAACACAUGCAAGUCGAGCGGAGCGGCGGACGGGGGAGUAAUGCCUAGGAAUCUGCCUGGUAGUGGGGGAUAACGUCCGGCAACGGGCGCUAAUCCCGCAUCCUAUCAGAUCAGCCUAGGUCGGAUUAGAUAGUUGGUGGGGUAAAGGCCUACCAAGAGGACGAGCCGUAACUGGUCUGAGAGGAUGAUCAGUCACACUGGAAUGGAGACACGGUCCAGACUCCGACGGGAGGCAGCAGUGGGGAAUAUUGGACAAUGGGCGAAAUCCUGAUCCAGCCAUGCCGCGUGUGUGAAGAAGGGCUUCGGAUUGUAAAGCACUUUAAGUUGGGAGGCGUUACAAACAGAAUAAGCACCGGCUAACUUCGUGCCAGCAGCCGCGGUAAUUC
rnacentral:rRNA from 1 species